CUCACCAAGGCGAUGACGGGUAGCCGGCCUGAGAGGGNACCGGCCACACUGGACUGAGACACGGCCCAGACUCUACGGGAGGCAGCAGUGGGGAAUAUGCACAAUGGGGCGAAAGCCUGAUGCAGCGACGCCGCGUGAGGGAUGACGGCUUCGGGUUGUAAACCUCUUUCAGCAGGGAAGAAGCGAAAGUGACGGUACCUGCAGAAGAAGCGCCGGCUAACUACGUGCCAGCAGCCGCGGUAAUACGUAGGGYGCAAGCGUUAGUCCGGAAUUAUUGGGCGUAAAGAGCUUGUAGGUGGCUUGUCGCGUCUGYCGUGAAAAYCCGAGGCUUAACCUCGGRCGUGCGGUGGGUACGGGYAGRCUAGAGUGUNGUAGGGKSKAYUGGSAUUCCUGGUGUSGCGGUKSSAUGCGCAGAUAUCAGGAAGAACACCGAUGGCGAAGGCAGGUNGUCUGGGUUAUSACUGACACUGAGAAGCGAAAGCAUGGGAKYGAACAGGAUUAGAUACCCUGUAGUCCAUGCCGUAAACGUUGGGCACUAGAUGUGGGUGSSCAUUCACGUUUUCCGCGUCGUAGUAACGCAUUAAGUG
rnacentral:rRNA from 1 species